UAGGGAAUCUUCGGCAAUGGACGGAAGUCUGACCGAGCAACGCCGCGUGAGUGAAGAAGGUUUUCGGAUCGUAAAGCUCUGUUGUUAGAGAAGAACGUUGGCAGGAGUGGAAAAUCUACCAAGUGACGGUAACUAACCAGAAAGGGACGGCUAACUACGUGCCAGCAGCCGCGGUAAUACGUAGGUCCCGAGCGUUGUCCGGAUUUAUUGGGCGUAAAGCGAGCGCAGGCGGUUCUUUAAGUCUGAAGUUAAAGGCAGUGGCUUAACCAUUGUAGGCUUUGGAAACUGGAGGACUUGAGUGCAGAAGGGGAGAGUGGAAUUCCAUGUGUAGCGGUGAAAUGCGUAGAUAUAUGGAGGAACACCGGUGGCGAAAGCGGCUCUCGGGUCUGUAACUGACGAUGAGGCUCGAAAGCGUGGGGAGCAAACAGG
rnacentral:rRNA from 1 species